rnacentral:lncRNA from 1 species
GAGUUGUACAUCUAAAAUGCAGUCAAUUAUCUCUAUAAAAACGCAGCCAUGGCAAACAGCAUCACUAAAGUAAUCACUGAUUGAGAAAUUUUCGGAGCGCACAGCUGCGUUUCUUGCUCUGUCCUCAUGUCCUCUUCUAUCUAAUCAGCCUAUUUGGGACCCUUUCAGUCUUUGUAAAUAAUAAACCUGCACGUUAUCAGUUCUGAGACA